UCCUACGGGAGGCAGCAGUAGGGAAUCUUCCGCAAUGGACGAAAGUCUGACGGAGCAACGCCGCGUGAGUGAAGAAGGUUUUCGGAUCGUAAAACUCUGUUGUCAGAGAAGAACAAGUUGGAGAGUAACUGCUCCAGCCUUGACGGUAUCUGACCAGAAAGCCACGGCUAACUACGUGCCAGCAGCCGCGGUAAUACGUAGGUGGCAAGCGUUGUCCGGAUUUAUUGGGCGUAAAGCGAGCGCAGGCGGUUCCUUAAGUCUGAUGUGAAAGCCCACGGCUCAACCGUGGAAGGUCAUUGGAAACUGGGGAACUUGAGUGCAGAAGAGGAGAGUGGAAUUCCAUGUGUAGCGGUGAAAUGCGUAGAUAUAUGGAGGAACACCAGUGGCGAAGGCGACUCUCUGGUCUGUAACUGACGCUGAGGCUCGAAAGCGUGGGGAGCAAACAGGAUUAGAUACCCUGGUAGUCCACGCCGUAAACGAUGAGUGCUAAGUGUUGGAGGGUUUCCACCCUUCAGUGCUGCAGCUAACGCAUUAAGCACUCCGCCUGGGGAGUACGGCCGCAAGGCUGAAACUCAAAGGAAUUGACGG
rnacentral:rRNA from 2 species